AUUGCGAUAUGGCAAGGCUACCCAUACAGAGGCAGAAGGAGGCGUGGCCUUUUAUUCUACCCAAUCAGCAGCAGAGAGAGGCCUUGCAACAUCCAGUUAUCAACCAUAAACGAAGACCAUCUCCACCCACACAGUGUCCAUUUGGACCUUUGUAUCCCUCAAAACUCUGCAUUGAAAGGUGGAUGGUUUCUCCUCUCCAGUUUUCUUCCAGAUUAACUUUGGUGACCGACUACAGACGCAG